AGGGUGACAAAAUCUGACAAAGGGAUCCCAGUCAAUUCUAUAAAGUCCAUUUCUUGUUCCUCUUAUCCUCUCUGGCAAACCCUUUCAUAAUCAGAGGAUCCCAUUAGAGUCAUUUUCAGGUGUCCAUUUCUCAUAUUUCUGCAAGCAAUCUCCAAAAAUAUGCUACCCUUUUUACCAGCUACAGACAGAAAUUUCUACGUUAACUAAGUUACAACAAAGGUAAAAGAACUGCCUCCCAAUCAAUCCAUCCAUCAUUGAAGUUCGCAAACCUUUUUUUUUUUUAACCCCUACAGAAGAAGUCUUGCUAGCUAGUCAUAGGAAUUUAAGUUCAAUGGAUGCAAGAAAAAUAGUGGUGGUUGUGGAAGAUGUAGAUGUGGCGAGAACAGCCCUGCAGUGGACUUUACACAAUCUUCUUCGUUAUGGGGAUUUGAUUACUCUGCUCCAUGUUUUCCCAUCAACAAGAUCUAGGAACAAGAACAAGCUCAGACUUCUCAGGUUAAAGGGCUUCCACUUGGCUCUUUCCUUCAAAGAUAUCUGCAACAAUUUCCCAAAUGAUUAUAAUGGUUGCAGACCAAGACUGAGAUUGUUGUGACUGAAGAGGACCGAGAAGGAGGAAGGAUUGUGACCAUUGUUAGAGAGCUUGGAGCUUCUACUCUUGUAGUUGGGCUUCAUGAUCAGAGCUUUCUGUACAAGUAAGUAGUGUUAAAAAUUCUUUCUUGGAAAUUGAAUCAUAACAAUGAUUGAGGAAUAGAUGAUGGAAAUCAUGAGAUUGAAAGCAUCUUCGAAGUUUGAACUGAUCAAAAAAGCUGUGGCUGAUGGAGAUGAAUGAUUGAUUGGUUAAGGCUGCCUGCCAUAAAGCUUGAUUGGUCAACGUUCAAUUCACUUCCUUGUUUCGGUCCAUAGAUUGAUUCACACGACGGUUUUCUACACUUGCUCUGUGCACGUUGCUGACCUGCUAGGCUUUAAUAGAAUAUGCUUUCUUAUAUUUAAUUUUUGCAUUAAAUUACAGGAAUUUUGUACAUUUGCACUUUAGAGGCAAAUGACACGGAAAAAAAAAAGAAGGAAAAAAGAAACUAUAGCAAUAAGCUGUAAUGGGUUUUCUGUUUUUUUGUCUAAAAAGAAAAAGAAAAAGAAAAAAAUUUCUAGAAAAGGGUGAGAUUUCUGUGCCUGGCUGCAUUAGGUGCAAAAAUUUUGGCUCACAGGAAAUAUGUGGAGCACAUAUGAGAAUUUCGUGAUAUGGCAGGAGUAGUGCCAUAGUUGCUUCUUAAUGUAGUGUAUGGUCCAUAGGCGUCUUUAAAUGGACAUUAGUUUAUAAUUUAAUUCAUACAUUUUAAGAAUGUAUUGAUUAAGCUUUAAGGAUCAAAAUACAACUUUUUAAUGCAGCAUUUCCCCAAAAAAAAAAAAAAAAAAAA